rnacentral:rRNA from 1 species
CCGGGGAUAACAGGCUGAUACCGCCCAAGAGUUCAUAUCGACGGCGGUGUUUGGCACCUCGAUGUCGGCUCAUCACAUCCUGGGGCUGAAGUAGGUCCCAAGGGUAUGGCUGUUCGCCAUUUAAAGUGGUACGCGAGCUGGGUUUAGAACGUCGUGAGACAGUUCGGUCCCUAUCUGCCGUGGGCGCUGGAGAACUGAGGGGGGCUGCUCCUAGUACGAGAGGACCGGAGUGGACGCAUCACUGGUGUUCGGGUUGUCAUGCCAAUGGCACUGCCCGGUAGCUAAAUGCGGAAGAGAUAAGUGCUGAAAGCAUCUAAGCACGAAACUUGCCCCGAGAUGAGUUCUCCCUGACUCCUUGAGAGUCCUGAAGGAACGUUGAAGACGACGACGUUGAUAGGCCGGGUGUGUAAGCGCAGCGAUGCGUUGAGCUAACCGGUACUAAUGAACCGUGAGGCUUAACCUUACAACGCCGAAG